CCUACGGGAGGCAGCAGUGAGGAAUAUUGGUCAAUGGCCGGAAGGCUGAACCAGCCAAGCCGCGUGAAGGACGAAGGUGCCAAGCAUUGUAAACUUCUUUUGUCAAGGGACAAAAUCAGGCUCGAGAGCCUGACCGAGGGUACUUGAAGAAACAGCAUCGGCUAACUCCGUGCCAGCAGCCGCGGUACUACGGAGGAUGCGAGGUUUAUCCGGAUUUAUUGGGUUUAAAGGGUGCGUAGGCGGAAUGCCAAGUCAGCGGUAAACUCGCGGGGCUAAACCUCGCGCCGCCGUUGAAACUGGCGGUCUUGAGUGGGCGAGAAGUAAGCGGAAUGCGUGGUGUAGCGGUGAAAUGCAUAGAUAUCACGCAGAACUCCGAUUGCGAAGGCAGCACACCGGCGCCCAACUGACGCUGAAGCACGAAAGCGUGGGUAUCGAACAGGAUUAGAUACCCGAGUAGUC
rnacentral:rRNA from 1 species